rnacentral:rRNA from 1 species
GACAGAGGUCUCGAGCGUUAGGCGGAAUCACUGGGCUUAAAGCGUGUGUAGGCGGACUUCUAAGUGCCUUGUGAAAUCCCACGGCUCAACCGUGGAACUGCUGGGCAUACUGGUUGUCUUGGGCCAUCUAGGGGCUACUGGAACAAACGGUGGAGCGGUGAAAUGCGUAGAUAUCGUUUGGAACGCCAACGGUGAAAACAGGUUGCUGGGGGUGUGCUGACGCUGAGACACGAAAGCCAGGGGAGCGAACGGG